rnacentral:lncRNA from 1 species
AUUUAUUUACUUGCCUUUCUCCAUGAAGGCAUCUCCAGCUCAUCCAAGAUCAACUGCAGAGGAGGACGAGGGAAAUUUUAUAUGGGAACAAUUAUCUGAAAAAUACAAUAGAAGGCAACUGGAAAAGAGGCAAGGAUUCUAACUACAUACUGCAGAAAAAAUAUUCACACCUGUCAAAUUCCAACAGCUGGCAUUGUUGUUGUUCUACGAAUAAGCACACACAGAAUCCUCGUGAAUAGUUCUUUGUCUCUUGCUCUAGUAAAUCAUAACCUGCUUGUAGCUUUUUUAUGAACCUUCAGGAAUAACUCUUCAGAGGAUGCUAAUACAUCAUUAAGAUUAAAUUGAACCUCAAAGGUGGGUUUUUUUUCCAAAAUGAUAAAGGCCACCAACACUGCAAGGUUUGCCGUCAUUCCCUUGAUCUGGUAAGUGACACCGUCUUCAGGGUUUGUGUACUCAAAGAUAUGAUUAAUAAAACGGUGACCAAGACGUGUGACGUAAUGCUGGUCAUGGACCUGUGGAUGCAGGAAAUAGGCCAGAGGCACCAGGAAUACAUCCUUAACUUCAGCAGGAUUCGGCUGGGCCUGGAAGUUGUGGUCUAUUAAACCCACAAAUGGAGUUAUCAAUGUAUCUG